ensembl:lncRNA
AGGCCAUGAGGAAUGAUUAGGGAUGCAUCAGAGGAGUGAUGUAAUCGGCUGUAUGGUAUAAGAAGAUAAGCACUUCCUGCAGGAUAAAUCGGAGGACACCAAGACUGGAAGGAGGAACACAUUUUCGAGCUUAGAGAAAUGACCCAGUGCAGAGGAAGAAAGCUGGAAUCAUUGAUGGAGGAGCAUCUGAGAGGUGAUGAAAAAGGAUGAAGUAGAAAAGAAAACCAUGAGUGGAUGCUGGCCUUGGACAAUGAAGGGAAAAUUCUUGCCUUGGCUCUGAAAGAAAGAACUUCAAGGAGUGGUCAACAUUCCAGAAGCCUGAGGGAGCAGAAUAUAAAGAUGAGUGUAUUCCUGCCAGAGGAUAUCAAGUUUCUCUCUAAAACUGGAGUAAAAUCUCUGGUGAAAGUGAAAGAGCUAUAAUGAGAGAAAACGUGUAAGGUGAAGUUGGCGGGAGAUAGAUGAAGAUGUAUCGACAAAGAAAAUGGUGGUGAUGACUAAACGGCAUUGGAGGCAGGGGGCCUCCAGAUCACUCGGUCAUCUGAAGAAUCGGAGGAUGAGGCUGUCGCAGUGAGGCAAGGGGAUGGGAGAAGAGAGUGAUGUCUCUGUCUCUGGGGCUCUCUUGGGCUGAGCAUGAUCUGGAAGGAAGUCCAACCCUUUGCUACCAGCUCUGGGAAACGUCUGAAAAGCAAGAACCUCUGUAAAAAGCACCUCUUUAGUUUAUGGAGAUGUUGCUGAGCUGGCCUUGAAAUGGGCACAUGAUGCCAUCCCAUCCGAUGAAAUGUGAGGACAUUAUUGUUUGAGGAUGUAAGCUUGAAGCUGCUUUGGAAUAUCAGAAACUAGCCUAAGGACAAACACCAACAUUCUGAAGACGGCAGAGCAAAAGAUGGAAAGAAGGAUCUCAUGUCUUGACAUUUUUAGAAUGAGCAUUGAGAGACAGCUAAGUGAAAGGACCACAGAAGCAAGAACUUGAGAAGAUUAGCCCUGAGCUAACGUCCGUCACCAAUCCUCUUCUUUUUGCUGAGGAAGACUGGGCCUGAGCUAACAUCCAUGCCCAUCUUCCUCUACUCCAUAUGUGGGACGCCUACCACAGCAUGGUUUUUGCCAAGCAGUGCCAUGUCCGCACCUGGGAUCCAAACUGGUGAACCCCGGGCCACCAAGAAGUGGAACGUGCGAACUUAACUGCUACGCCACCGGGCCGGCCCCCUACAAUAAUCUUGAUACAGAAGCACUGGGCCUGCAAUCAGACAGAUGGGGCCCACCAGCCUACUUGUUUUUUCUGCCACAUGUGCCACAACUGGUAGGCAGAUCAGAAUCAAAGGCAGAGCCCUGAAAUUCAGAUUUUGUUUCCUGAACCAUAUUUACCUCUCAGGCUUCUGCCAGGUCUUUACAUUUUAUAAGGCAAAAAUUGAAAGUUUCUGGCACACUCAGACAUGGGACCAGAAGACAAUAAAGCUAUUCAUCACUUUUGGCAUGAAUCUGUCUGUUCUUAGAAGAAUCUUAAAUUGUCAUUGACUUUAAGACAUUUUCAGCUUAAAAACCCUACAUCUAUGUAAGUCCAUGUGUUCUUUGUGUACUUUUGUGUUCUAUUCCAAACUCAGCCACAAAAGUAAACUUUUGGUAAAAAUGGUUCAGGUUCAGCAAAAUACCAAAUAGGAUUUGCCAAAAGUUAUUCUCCCUUAUAUUUUAAACCGCUGUGCAUUGUGGGGAAAACACAAUCCACUUGUCUCUAAUUCAUUUAUACUUAAUAAAGUAGAAAGUAAUAAAGUGAAAUAUUUUAUUAGUUGUCCACUGUCCGAACGGCCUUUUGAGAUUCUUGUAUAGUUUUCUUUUCUCUUGUCUUCCCUGUCUACGCUGACCUCAACUAACUAACUAGUGAUGCUUAAAUAGUAAAAGACUCCUUUCACUUUGAAACCUAGUAAAAUAUGCACCCUUGUUUCUCAUUUUUUAUCAAAGUAUUUAUGACCUGAUCAUUCGAAUGUAAUUUUCAAACACUUAACAAAGAUCUUACUGAAUUGUAUGGUUUUCUUUUGACGUUAAAACAGGGAGAAAAAGAACUCUAAGUAUGUUAAAACACUUCCAAGUUUUCCAGUUUGUUUCAGAAGAAAGGUUAAAUAAUUGCUAUCUUGUUCUUUUCACUAUUUGAUCCUACUUUAGAUAAUUUAACAUAAAUGAACAUUUUAAGUUAAAACAUUUUUUGGAAGCAGCAUCCAAACCAUGAUGUGUCUUUUCCCGUAUCAAAUAUUCAUAUAUAUGAUUUGAUAUGGAAGAGUUGGCUUUUCCUGACCACUCCUCCCACCACAAUCAAACACACCCAAUCCCUAUUAUCCAUAUCUGAUUUCCUUUUGAAAAUAAUGUAAUACAUCUGCUGUAAUCCUGGGGAGAUGUGGGGGAGACGUAAAUUCUGAUAAAAGUCAGACAUGUUGAUGACAGUCUGCAGCCCGAUACACUCGAAAAUACUGUGCAAGAUGCAAAGGAAAUUUCGUGAAAUGAUAACCCAUGGAAGAGCACUAUAUGUGAAGAGCAUCCAUGGAGCUACAGAGUCGGAGUGCUACAGCAUGAGGAUAGAGACUGUUUUCCAGAGAAGUAAAUUCCCUAACUUCAAUCCUUAUGUCAAACGGACUGAUCCAUGUCAGAAACAUUUUCUCUCUAAACUGAAUCUCUCAUACUGUUAUUAAAUUUUUAUUUCAUCAAGUCCUCUGUAAACAUUCAAUCGGCUGGAUUCCAAACUCUCCUGUAGUAAUGUAUUUUGUUCUUGAAAACUGUUAAUAAACCUUGGGACCUUAGAAAGGGUGUAUAGAAAUGAGACAUUGAGAACCACUUCAUAAUGGAAUCUACUAGAGAGCAAAGCACAGCUUAUUGGGUAAUUACAUGGAUGCUGGAGGCAGGUGGCAUGGGUUUAAAACUUUACUCUGGUAUUUUCUACACAUUCUCUUUGGGUAAGUUACCUAAGCUCUCUGUGCCUCAGUUUACUCAAAUAAAAAGACUAUAAAUAGUCCUUACUUGAUAUAGUUGUUGUAGAAUUUAAUAAAUUAAUUCCUAUAAAGCAAAUAUAUCUCCUUCACAACCAGCUCAUCUUUCAUCUAUUGCACUCUCUAUUACCUUUCCAGAGCCCAACGCCUACUUCUUUGUCAACAUUUGCCCAACAAAAUCUUCAAAACCAAGCUACAUAUCUACCUGCUCCUGGAAGAGCUCUGAGAUUAAUCCAAUUUAGCUCCAGUGUCUUCUACUCAGUCUUACCUCAGGACUCCAGUAGUGAAUAAACUAUUGUUAUAGGAAUUUAUUGUUCUGAAAUCAUUUCAUCCCACUUUAUAUGUCUGAUUUUUCUCUCUCCAAUGAGAAAGCCAGCUCUUGAGAGUAGAAAUAUUUUAUAUCUCUUUCAUUACUUGCUCCACUCUACCUCUUUAUCUAUACCACAUAUACAUACUGCAAUAUUCAAAAUAAUUUCUUUAGUUCAUUCAUUUCUUAAGAAAAUGUCACUAAAAGAGUUUAUUUCUUAACUUAAACAAAUUUUAAUUGUGGUAGGCACACAUAACUUAAAAUGUGCCAUCUUAGCCAUUUCCAGGUGUGUAAUUCAGUAGUGUUAAAUAUAUUCAUCCUGAUGUGCAACUAACCUUCAGAGCUUUUUUAACUUGUAAA